UACGUAGGGUGCAAGCGUUGUCCGGAAUUAUUGGGCGGAAAGAGCUCGUAGGUGGCUUGUCGCGUCUGCCGUGAAAGCCCGUGGCUUAACUACGGGUCUGCGGUGGAUACGGGCAGGCUAGAGGCUGGUAGGGGCAAGCGGAAUUCCUGGUGUAGCGGUGAAAUGCGCAGAUAUCAGGAGGAACACCGGUGGCGAAGGCGGCUUGCUGGGCCAGUUCUGACGCUGAGGAGCGAAAGCGUGGGGAGCGAACAGG
rnacentral:rRNA from 1 species